CCGUUUCAAAGUAAGAAUUUUGAGCACUAUAAGUUCCUAAGUUUGUGUUCUGUAUGUAGGAGCAAAAAGAUUUUUUCAAGUUUAUAUAUUUUGAGAGAAGGUGUCCAAAGGAGAGGGGCAGAGACACAGAAUACCAAGCAGAGUCUGUUAUGUGAUUGCAGAGUCUAAGAUGGACUUGAACUCACCAACUUUGAGGUCAGGACCUGAGCCAGAUCUGGAGUUGGAUGCUUAACAGACUGAGACCCACAGGCACCCCACAAAGAGACUUCUCUUGAAGGAUCUCACUCCCAAGAGGAAUCCCCAUCUUUGGGAAGGACAAGAAUGUACAACCACGGCAACUUAAGGUGUUUUCACCUCUGUCAAGAUAGUGCAAACCUCGUAUUACUUCAUUGGAAAUCAUUGUAGCAAUGAAGCAGAAGAUGUGCCGCUCAGGACAACAAUAUCCAUAAAGAAAAGAGACCGCUUCUGGUCGCACAUCAGGGUGUACACUCUUCCUGUACCAGAGGAAGGUACUGUAGAAAUUUACUAAGUUGAUUCAGAAUAAUUUUUUCAUUCACUGUCCUGUACAACCAGA
rnacentral:lncRNA from 1 species